rnacentral:rRNA from 1 species
AGAAUCAACGCUGGCGGCGUGCCUAACACAUGCAAGUCGCACGAGAAAGGGGAGCAAUCCCUGAGUACAGUGGCGCACGGGUGAGUAACACGUGAAUAAUCUACCUCCGAGUGGGGAAUAACUGAGAGAAAUCUUAGCUAAUACCGCAUAACACUUACGAGUCAAAGCAGCAAUGCGCUUGGAGAGGAGUUCGCGGCCGAUUAGUUAGUUGGCGGGGUAACGGCCCACCAAGGCGACGACGGGUA